rnacentral:rRNA from 1 species
UAUCUCUGUAGAGUCUGCAUAUCAAUAAGCGGAGGAAAAGAAACUAACAAGGAUUCCCUUAGUAACGGCGAGUGAAGCGGGAAGAGCUCAAAUUUGAAAUCUCCAAGGUUUUACCUUGACGAAUUGUAGUUUAAAGAAGUGUUUUCUGUUGAAGUUUCGGCUAGAAGUUCUUUGGAAUAGGACAUCAUAGAGGGUGAGAAUCCCGUAUUUGACCGUUAUUUUCAGCUGUGUGAUACACUUUCAAAGAGUCGGAUUGUUUGGGAAUGCAGUCCAAAAUGGGUGGUAAAUUUCAUCUAAAGCUAAAUAUUGGCGAGAGACCGAUAGCGAACAAGUACCGUGAGGGAAAGAUGAAAAGAACUUUGAAAAGAGAGUUAAACAGUACGUGAAAUUGUCAAAAGGGAAGCGUUUGACACCAGUGUUGUUUUCUCGAAAAUCAAUUAAAAAUGGCCGGAUUUUGUGUUGUAUUGACUUUAUCAGCUUUCUGCACUUUUUUCUUGUCUUUUUUAAUGCACUUUUCGUUUAACAAGUCAACAUCAAUUUCUUUUGUUGUAAAAGAGUCAUUGGAAGGUGGCUUUCACUUCGGUGAAAGUGUUUAUAGCCUUUGACUUCUGCAAUCGGAGAGAUUGAGGUCUGCAGCGUAGAUCCUUCGGGGUUAGAUACAUUUGCGCUAAGUUAUAGUUUUUCAUAGACAACAUGUUGACUAUGAUUAAUCAUGUAGCUUACUCGCUUAUGCUAUUUUACCUACGCUUAGGAUGUUGAACGCGCACAGAGUCUC